GAACUGGUGGGGUGUGGAGCUAGGUCCCAAUGCGAGUGGUCGCAAGUCCGGGGAGCUCCAUGUAAAUGGGACGAAAUUAUUAACAUACCGGCAACACAGGGGACACCAUGACCACACAGACAGCCUCCAGGACCUCCUUACUAGAUGGGGAGAAAAUCUAAAAAACCGAGGCCGAAUAGCCCCAGGUUCACAGCCAAGGGAUUCACUGCGGAGGCCGCAUGACUUCUCAUGCGACUCUGGUGACUUACCUCUGCACAGCAUGGCUGAUCUGGACUAUAGGCGUCCAUCCAAGCCUUCUUCAACGAACAAGGUAAAAUUCCCUCCUGUCACAACACCCAUACUCACCAGUGUCCUUGCAGAUCUCAGGCCAUCACUCUCGUCUGAAAUCACACAAGCGAGGGAGGAGGUCAAAGGGUUUAAUGCACGAAUGGCCGCAGUGGAACAAACCAUGGAAACACAUACCUCACAGAUCUCUGAGUUGCAGAAACAAGUUCAAGACCUUACCUACGCCCAAGGUUACCCAAACCACCAACUAGCAGCACAGGAAGAUAGGAAAAAAUGGAAACACCUUAAAGGACCCCUCCACACCCCAAAAGCACUUCAUCUUGCUGAAGUGCUUUGUGGGUGAGGAGUAUCCUCGCUUAACCCAAGUUUAUAAAAGUGCUGAUUUAUAUGAGAAAUUAACUAGGGAACUCCCCCCUGGCUGUCCAUCAAACAGCCAGGGAGGAUUCCUUCCCACUUCCCUUCAUCCCUGCACAUUGGACCGGGUGCGCACACGUGCACGAACAGCCGUGUGUGCACACACGUGCAUGCACGGUCAGGUAUACGUGCAUGCAACAUUCUGCAUGAGCCGGUGCGUGCGUGGGGACCAAGUCAGAGGCUUCUUAAUGAGAAGUCUCUGAAAGUCUGUUCUGGGGGGAAAGAGGAGGGGCUUACAAAAGCUGCAGUCAUAAGAACUGUGGCUUUUGUAAGCUAUUUUAAACUAUAUUCCCAAUGAAUACAUACAUGAAAAUAGGAAGGUGGGAGUCUGUAAGUGUGGAGUGGUCCUUUAAGAUCAGGGGCCUGUCUGAUAGCAUCACCAUAGCAGAAAUGUCACAAUUCUCUACUGCCUUCAAAACAAAGAGCAUAACUCUUGGUGGCAUAUUUCACCUGCCCAAACCUCAACCAAGCACAGCAACCGCUACAAGCAAUCUCCUGGUAAAGUUCCAGAAUGGGCAGGAUAAGGCUGCUUUUCUGAAUACAACUAGGGGAAAGACCCCAUACCGAUUUGAAGAGACGGAUCCCACACAACUCUGCAGUGGAGGAAGACUCUCCGACCUGUGACAUCUAUCCUAAAUGCCAAAGGCACUUUGAAUUAUCACUUCGGUGAAUAACACUGAUAAUUGACUUGAAGUUUUAUUUACUUUUUACAUCCUUUUUACCAUUUUCGGAAUCAAUUCGUUUGAAGACUACCAGGAAUUUAUUUGGAUGAAUUGCAGGAAAAAAAAAAAUUAAACGUCAAAUAAAACAAAAAAAUGAUGCAAGAGUAAGCUUUGGUUUUUAAACAAAUCUUUCCCCCAAUGUCAGUGCUGGAUUUUCUGGAACACUAACAGAGUUUUUCACUAAAUUGACGAGAAUUUUAAGUUGAAGCCAAACUGGAAACAUACCUAAGUGGGAGAAUUUUUCCAGUUUGAUAUUAAGUUUGAAAUUGAUUUACAAUUUUCUGCAGUUUUCAGUUUAGUGAAUAACCCUUUUAGCUACUUUCACAAU